AUGUUGCAAGGUGGCGAAC
rnacentral:misc_RNA from 1 species